GCGAUAUUUGAAUUGAUUGAAAGGUGAAGGGACGGUUCAAAAGAUGGGCGAGAGAGGGGAAAAUAGGCGGGACCGCGACGCGGGAUGAGAAGGCUUGGAGCGGUGGGGGCGCUCACGUCAGAGACAGAGUCUCGCUCCAUAGCCCAGGCUGCAAUGCAGUGAUGUGAUCAUAGCUUGCUGCAGCCUCAAUCUCCUGGGCUCAACCAAUCAUGCUGCCUUAGCCUCCCCUGUUACAGAGACAAGGUCAUACUAUGUUGCCCAGACUGGUCUCGAACUCCUAGCCUUGAUCCUCCUGCUUCAGCUUCCCAAAGUGCUGGGAUUACAAGCAUGAGCCACUGCGCCCAGCUGUAUACUGGAUAUCUGAGACUUGGUACCAAAAAAAAAAUAAAGUAAUUUAAUAUUUUCAUAUUGA